UACGUAGGGCGCAAGCGUUGUCCGGAAUUAUUGGGCGUAAAGAGCUCGUAGGCGGUCUGUUGCGUCCGCUGUGAAAACCCAGGGCUUAACCCUGGGCUUGCAGUGGAUACGGGCAGACUAGAGGCAGGGAGGGGAGAAUGGAAUUCCCGGUGUAGCGGUGAAAUGCGCAGAUAUCGGGAGGAACACCGGUGGCGAAGGCGGUUCUCUGGGCCUGACCUGACGCUGAGGAGCGAAAGCGUGGGGAGCGAACAGG
rnacentral:rRNA from 1 species